GUUCGCGAACGACACAUUACUACAGCAAAGCAUAAGACUCGUCUCGGUAUCUACGUUAGACCAAUAGCCUAUAAAUAAAACAAGUUUUCUACCGAAACAGCUAUAAUGUCGGUUUGAAAACAACCCUGUAUUGUGCACAUGCAGACGCUGUUGUUGUUGAUGAUGAUGAUGAUGAUGGUGAUGAUGAUGUCUAAUACGGAUUUGUCCAGCGCCUCUAUCCGGCACAUGUCGGAUAACCAAGGCUAAUUAUGGCCUCCUUCUCUUACACUGCCACUUCUUUGGACCACAUAUUAAGAGUUCCCAUGAACAGCUACCGAAUGCAAAUUCAAUUCUUGGAAUCAACUCUAGACCUUAUUUCAUUAAUUUGUCAUGAAAUAAUUAUGAAACAGGCCAUACCUGGCCAUGAAACUGCUUAUCAGUCAAAUGUCCAAUUACUUUUGAGCCUAUGAAAAUGGAGAUACUCUUUAAAAAAAAAUUGCUGUAUUUCGUAAACGGUUAAUGCAGUAUUUUUGUUCAACUCCUUGAAUUAAAGUUGAAAGUCUACACUUCAAUCAGAUCUUGAAUGCUUCAUUUCAAAUCUAUUGGGGUAGUGUAGAGAGGCAACAUAAUGAAAAUUGUGUCACGGUCCAAAUACUUAUGGACCUAGUUGUAUAUAUCCUCAAAUUAAAGCGGUAAACCUGCACUUUGAUCUCUUUAUUAUUUUAAAUUAUUUAAUUUUGGCUCCUAUAUACUGUACUGUGGUAGACAGCAAAAAUAAUAAAUUUGUCAAUGUCCAAAUAUUUAUGGACCUGACUAUAUAUUUUUGUGUUAGUUGCUGGAAAGGUUGAUAUUCACAAACAGUGAAUAAAGUUUAAUGGUUUACUUAGCCACUGUGUCAGUUGCUGAGUGUUGAGAAGUAUUGCUUUUGAGGAACCUCUGCGUCUCGUACAUACCGAUGUGUAAUAGGUCACUAUAAUUGGUUUACACCACGUAUAUGUUGAUUAUAAGGUAAAUGUUUGCCAUUUCAGUGCUGAGACACGACAAACUUCUUUUGAUGGUGAAAGUAUUGCGGCUCACUGUUUACACCGUAUACAUUUAAUUUAACAUAGACUCAAAGAUCACUCAAAGAACAAAGAUUAUCCUUGUUUGCUGCUAUGUGUUUUUUCUAGAAAUGGUUUACUGUCUUUCCAUACAUGGGUGCUUUUUUUUCUGUUCAUAAUUUCAAAGUUGCAGGCUAGCUAGCCAAUUUAUGUUAUAGCUUUUGAGAACAGGAAUGUGAGACAGGAAUACACCCUGGAUGGGACAUCAGGGUGUUUUUCUCGCUAUACGUUAUUCCCACAAACAUUAAACACACUACAGUUUUUCUUUCUUUUUUUGCUUCAAUAAAAAAGAAAAGUUAUCCAACACCUAUCACCAAUGUGAAAAACUAAAUGCCCGUUUAAUUUUAAAUCUAUUUAUUGAAGCGUAAAAAUUAUCUAAUACCAGCUAGGUUUGUG
ensembl:lncRNA